rnacentral:lncRNA from 1 species
UUGUGUGUCUUAGGAGCAGGUUUCUCGGUCUUCUUAGGGUUGGGGUCUGCACGGAUGGCAGCAUGAACCUUCUUGUACAACUCCUCCAUGCUCUCAGCAUCAACUCCUUUCUUCAAGUACUGACUGAAGUGAGUCUGAAACUUCUCUGGCUCAUCCUCAUUCAACAUCUUCAUGUAGUUUGAGACGUGACCACCAUAGAUGUAGUUCCUGUGGAUCUCAGCAUCGAGUUGCUUGUUCUCCUUGUUGAAACCAGCAAAUCUCUUGUCACUGUGGGGGAUAUCAAGUCCUCCGUCCAAGGCACCCUACAGUAACAAUAAACAAACUCAUCAAACACAUAACACAACAGAUAAGAAUAAGGUAUUACAACAGUUAUAUAUUACCUUGAGUGCACCAAAGACACGGUUUCCUGUAGUGGUCCUGAUAAGACCAACAUCAAGUAGAGCACGGAAUGGUCUCCUGGACUCGGUUGGCUCGACGGAAAAGUCCUCUCCGGUAGCCUGUUCAUGAUUUUAUACGGUUAGAGAUAAAGCCGGAGAUAAAGCUCAAAUCAGAUUUACAUGAAACAUUACCUCAAGGUUGCCCUCGUACUCUUCAUCCAUUUCCAACAUCUUCAGAACACGGCGAGCCAAUAGAAGCCCGGUGCAGUAAGCUGUGUUUCACAAGUAAAGGGUACUAACUAUUUAGCAAGACAGAACAAAUCAACUAUACCCAGAAAACUAAAGCAAAGGACUGAUCAGUACCUGCAGCGUAGUUGGUAAGUCCAACGGUGAGACCAUACUGAGGCAACUCAUGAGCGUAAGCAGAAGCCUUGACAAUGUCACCGGCUAUGCUUGCAGACACGAUUUGUGCGACUAUGUCUUUGUUGGUGAACCUGACAACAAAACGGUACUUUGGUGUGUUGUACUUGUUCUUGUCUUGGUUGAUGAGACGGAUCCUUGCUCUGUAAUCAGUCUUCCCAUCUGCACAAAAAUGAAAAAAACCUUUCAGAACGCAGACAAUAUAAAUCCAAAGAAACAAAUGAAGAAUCAAAUCAAAAUACCUCUCCUUCUCCUGAACUUGACUUGGUACCUCUUGAAGUAAGCGUUCGACUUGGAUGGCUUCACAAACACCUAUCAAUAUAAAAAACAUCUUAUAUCGUUAAGAGUUUUAUAUAAAGAACGAUGUAGCUGUUCUUCCUAAAGAAGCAAAGAUCUAUAUGAAAUAUCGUAAAGGUACAGCCUUUAAACAUCAAGACCAAAACCCAUUAAGAUUAUAGCCCUAUAGACUAAUGAAUUCUCGUUACCAAAGCUCAGACAAAUAUGAAAAAUCUAAGGAAACGCUGGAGAAAACUAAUGUAGGAGAUUUCCAUAUCAAACGAAAUGAAAAGCAGAAUCUUAUUGUUUGAGAAAAUUAAGAAGGCAGAGAGAUGAAAGCUAGGGCGUACCAUUGUUUGAAGCUAAGCGGAAGCUAAGCGGAAGCUUUGGGUGUGAGAUGAGAGUGUCGAGAAGACAAGAGGCGGAAUAUAAACCAAAAUGCAAGAUCUUAUAAUGAAAAACCCUAGAUGACUCCUUCGUGGGCUCUCCCUUAAUUCAACGGCCACGAUUUAUCUGGGCUUAAUAAUGUUUUAACGGUCUAGAUCGGUAUAAUGUAUUCUGCAUGGGCCCAUUAGUCUUUGUAUUUGGGCUUUUGUCUUCCCAAACUAUUCUGAGAUGUCUUUAUGUAUACUCCUUCCAUUUCGAAUUAGAUGCCGUUUUACGGAAAAAAAUUCGUUCCAAAAUUAGUGUCGUUUUAUGAUUUUAAUGCAAAAUUUAUUAAUUUUUUAUUCUAAUAUAUUUUUCUAUUGGUUGAAAUCUGGUUAGGUGUAUUGGUAAUGAUGUUUUUAUCUAGUAAAUAGAUAAACUUAAAUGUUUUAUUAAUCUGUGUGUCGAAUUCUAGAACGACAAGUAAAACGAAACAGAGGAAGUACUAAGCUUACUUAGCUCGAAAUUGUUUAAUAAAAUGCAAUAACUCAAAAUAUUUAGUGAAGUUAUUUUAUAAUUUUGGUUUAAAAAUAGUAUCGCAAAUUUUUUCUGUUUAUUGGCUUUUGGUAUUUAUUUAUUUUUGUGUCAGUCAACAAGAGUUUAUAUUUAUUUAUGUGAUGCAAAUAUAUGUUGGACUAUAAUCUUAAAAUUUUGGGUGUGACAUUACUUAUUAUGAGAGAUAUUCUAUAAUGUUGGUAUUUUUUUUUGAAACAGAGUACAAAUGAUGGAAAUUAAUCUGUAACUGAAUAGUAUGUCAUAGCUUAAAACAAAUGUACAACUUACAAAAUUUGUAACUAGUUUGUGUAGUUCUUAAGCAUGCGGCUCAGGACUGGUAAUUUGUGUAAUUCUUGAGCAUGUGGCUCAGGACUGGUAAUCAGUGUUUUAGUGUAACUAAAUCAUAUAGCUACGACUUGAAUGUAGUCAUUGUCAUUACUAAAUUAAGUGUGGGAAUUCCACCAAUAUUCUAUUUUGGUCUUUUUUUUAUCACCAAAACAUUUAUCAGGUCUGUAGCUUUCAAGUAACAGAAACGCUCCUUUCUCCGGUCCGACGUUUGUGUCGGAACCGAAGGCGUCCUCCUCCUUUCCUUUCUCUUUUUUAUUUUGCCUCCUCCCAUCUGUUCAACCUCUGUCGAUAUGCAAGCGAUUCUGGAUGUGUCCGUUUGUCACCGGAGACCUCUCUGUUGGUUAAAGGAGACAAGACGACGGUUCUGGAAAAGCGGGGAGACUGAGGAGCGACUGAAGCGGGGGAGGUCGGCUUUUAGGACUGAAGAAGCUACCAGAUCUAGUUUUCCUCUUUUCAGAUUUGGGCGAUUUCUUCGGAAUGCCGGCGUGUGACCAUUGUGGGAACCCUUCUCCGUCUUAGAUCUACCUCACUGAGCGGAGGUGAGAAGUACCGAAGAGCGAUUGACAAGCGGUGGAAGAUGUUUUGAAGCUCCGGUUCUCGGAAUCAACGUGUCGCAGAGUCCUUCGUCGCCGGAGGUGGUAGCUUUGCAGCAGGUACACGGUGAGGCUCUACUUCCCAGCGCCGGCGGUGGUCUGGUUACUUCGUCGGUGGUAUGAAUCUCACGUCAUCUGAAGCUAGGUUUUGCUGUUCCGAUUACGUUAUGCUGUCAUCAAGUCCGCCUUUUAUCAGUAUGCCAAUUCAGAAUUUGCAGGUGUACUAACUGGUGUGCCGUCUUUUCUGGCUUAGGAGCGGGACAAGAAAUUUGGUGGUGGUGGUCUAGGCCGGGAAUGCUCCGAAAGUAAUGGAAUGGAUGUGUUGGUCCAAGCUUAUCAUUCUUAUCUUUUGGUGAUCAGCACUUUGCUCUUGUAAUUAGUAGCCUGGUUUAGAUUCUAUCACUGCUGGAUGUAAGGUCUUCGUCUCUUGUGGUCGAUUUAGGUGGUUAAGAGGUGGCUCUUCCUGAGUCGUAGGAAGAGUUCAUCUCAUCGGGGUGAAAUGGGCAAUGAACAACAACCGGGUAGUGUAGGAUCCAAUCAAGUGAUCUUAAGCGAUACUAGGUUAGUUCGUUUGUCCUAGUGGUUCAAUCUCUUGAGAGGUUUAAAAUCAUGUGUAACUCCAAAAGUUGGUGAAUGAAAGUUGAUGAUGAGUUAAAAAAAAAAAAAAAACCUUUACCAGGCAUGAGUCAUGAUUAUAAGACCCACAACCGCCUAUUCACAUGACAGAAUUUGAAACCUCUUUAUUACAGGCAGAUCACAAUUCAUAAAAUGUAUUAUCAUUUUUAGCUGCUGGUGCUCGGUUUUCGGGAUACCAAAGAGCUACCUUGGGACCUUUGUGAUGAUGUGUGUUCUUAUGGUCACGAACUCCAAGUAGUUGUCACAAGGCCAAGAUUACAUGUAAAUAUAUAUUUUUUCCUUGAGAUGGAGGAGGAUUUGGUACCUCGAAACUAAGAGAAUUGUCAAAGCUAUUUUUUCUUAGGCUGAAGUGGUAUUCUAUGGUGCAUUGCAAUUCGAAGAAUUGUAUCCAUUCUAGCAAUGUAAAAUUUUUGUUUGAGAUAUCGUCUUUCUCAUAACUGAUAGUUCGAUAAGUUUUCAUUAAAAAAGAUAGUUCGAUAAAUUUAAACCCUAUAGUACCAUAAAGAAUAUUAUGCAAAAUCAAAUGCUGUGAAAUGUGCAUGUGUGACUAAUGAGAACGCUAGUGCAUUUGCUAUAGGAUCUGUAGAAUGGAAAGAAACAAUAUGUAAUGUGAAUAAACAAUGACUUUCUGAUCAGUGAUUGAUGAAGUAGGGGAAGAAGGUAACGUGAGAUUGAUCAUUUAGCUGAAUAAUAAGAUUCUCGAAUAGUUAACCAGAGGCUUUCUACAUUAAACGAAUUGAUUUGCGAUGAUCCACACACCCUUCGUUUAUGCCAAUCCCUUCUAAGUUGAGUUGAGACUAUUCUCUUCCUGGCUUUCUCAGCCUGCAAAUAAUAGAGAUUCCAGUUACUUCAAAGAUUAAAAAACAAAACAGAAUGUGGAAGUGUGACAAGCUAAAAUGACUAAUUUUCUAUUCCAAGUACUAACCUGUUCGUUCCAAUUUAUAGAACUUGUAAUGAUAUAAAGUAUAAUGGCUCUUGCACAGCGGAUCCAACCACAACACCGCACACUAUCCUUUUCGUUAAAAUGACGAUAAACUCUAACCGGAGCUCCUAUGAGAUUACCAUAUUGUUCCAAGCUCCAAUAUGGUGCCAACCACUUCCUCUAGCAACCCCAUUUAGAAUUGCAGUAAAUCCAUCAUGGAUAAAAGAAAGAUAGAGCAAUACGGGUUUGUUCAUUAGACAUCGCUCUUUGCUUUUUAAUUUCAGAUACUCGAGUUAAAAAGACUACUGCAUAUUCAAGAUUUUGUGUAUUGUUUAAUCCAAUGUAUUGUUUGAAAGGUUAUAUCAGCCUUUGAUUAUGAAAUGAUUGAUUGGUAGAGCAAUGAACAUUAAAGUACGCAUAAGAUCAAACUAUAAAAACUCCAAAAUCAUGAAAAUGUCGAAAAAAUUUAACUUCAUAGAAAAUGGCAAUCCUCAUACUCAAACGGACAUAAAAUGUGAAAACACGAGCAUAAGUUUUAAGUCUGGCAAAAAUGUAAAAAGCUACAAGAGACAUCAGGAGAAAGGCUUAAUGACGCUUUACUCUUCGUCGUCCUCAUCAUCAUCAUCCCCACCAGCUGCUCCGUUCAAUGCCUUGACUCUCUCGAUCAACUUGUUCUUCCUCUCCUCGUAGGUCAACUUCUUCAAGUUGUACCUGUUUAUCAGUCAAAACCACACAAUCAGGCACAAAUGCACCAAAAGCAUUAAGAAAGAAUGAAAUGCUUUUGUAAAUGAUUAACCUCUUGUGUGUCUUGGGAGCAGGUUUCUUGGUCUUCUUAGGGUUGGGGUCUGCACGGAUGGCUGCAUGAACCUUCUUGUACAGCUCCUCCAUGCUCUCAGCAUCAACUCCUUUCUUCAAGUACUGACUGAAGUGAGUCUGAAACUUCUCUGGCUCAUCUUCGUUCAACAUCUUCAUGUAGUUUGAGACGUGACCUCCAUAGAUGUAGUUCCUGUGGAUCUCAGCAUCGAGUUGCUUGUUCUCCUUGUUGAAACCAGCGAAUCUCUUGUCACUG